rnacentral:lncRNA from 1 species
CUUGGUGUUAGAGCGGGGGAGAGAAAAUUACAACUUAAUAAGAUCUUAUUCUUCAUAGAGAUUUCCAUCCAUGACACAUCGAUUUCACAUAUCCUGUGCGGGAUACAGUUUUAUAUUUUCAGGGUACAGGUGCUGGUAGAUGUGGCAGUGGGUACUUGUGGAAGAUCUGGAUUCUUAUUUCUUCAAGAAAUAUGUAAAAUCAACUGAGCAUGAAAAUGGAGAACUGUUGAGGACAAUGGAAGUUGAGUAGAACGGGUUAAAGCAGUAUGUUACAGUAUCAUGUGCAACAGUACCAUAAGCAACGGUAAGAAAACUCUUAGGAUUAGCCAUAAAUUUAAGCAGGGUUGAACAUCCUUCAGCAUGUUCAGCUAUCUGGAUACAAGUGUGGAAUACGUAGAACAUUGGAAAAAGGCUUGUGGUUUUAAGUGCAUAGGACAAAGUGAGAGGGGCAGGCAGAGCAUGGAAGAUGUUUAGACAAAUUUGAGGGGCUGUUUGGAGUACCGUCAGCUAAAUAGAUAAACUCUAAGCAGGGUGAAGUAUAGCAAAAAGGCAGCUGUCUUCAGGAACUGAGAAGGGUUUGGGGUGUUAUUCUACUUAUGAGCCAAAAAGCCUGUUCCUGUUUCAUGGAAGCUAGCAGAAGAUAUGAGACUCCUGGCCCAGAAACAAAUAAUUUUAUCAUCCAUGACAAAAGCAUGAGUCAGUAUUUCUUGUUGCUUUUAAUCAGUUCCUCAUACUUCCCAAGUCUCACAGCUUUGGGUGCCAUAAAGGGUCCAUGAUAGAUGACUGUACCUGCUGUAGACUGGAUUAAGAGAAGCAUGCUGAGCUUAGGGAAUCUGCCGAUUUUCAAUAAGCAGAACAAGCCUGCUUUUUGUCUGGGGUAGAAAGUUACCUUAUCCCUCAAGUUUGCUCAGUGCAAACACAACCUGGCAAAAGUCCUUGGCAAAAAAAC